rnacentral:lncRNA from 10 species
GGGCGGUGGAAGCUAUGAAAAGAGGCAGGAAAAAAGUUCCUUUGACCCGAUGCUGUCAGAGAGCGUGCAUGAAGAAGAAAGUUAAUGGUAUUUCCAUUUAUAUAAGAAGCGCCUAAGAAAUGCCUGUGACGUUCGUGAACUAGUGAUUGUGAAUUCCAAAUUUGAUGCCAACUUUAUGUGUAAAGAAGCUAACUCCUGCCAACAUCGUGGCUGAAUGAACAGCUGGGACUAUGCUUAACCCAUUCCCAGCUUAUAAAAGCCCCAUGGCAGCUGCAGUGAAGCAUCAGAAAAGUAUAGUAAGAAGAAACUGAAUUUGAAGUGGAUUCUUACAAAGGAAAAAGAAAAUCACUAUUGUAACUAUACCAAAUUACUAUAUUAUGUGAUGCAACAAAAUUCAAAUAUGAAAACCAUCUCGGAGGCCGGGCGCGGUGGCUCACGCCUUUAAUCCCAGCACUUUGGGAGGCCGAGGUGGGUGGAUCAUUUGAGGUCAGAAGUUCAAGACCAGCCUGGCCAACACGGUGAAACCCUGUCUCUACUAAAAAUACAAAAAUUAACUGGGCGUGGUGGCACAUGCCUGUAAUCCCAGCUACUCGGGAGGCUGAGGCAGGAGAAUUGCUUGAACCUGGGAGGCGGAGGUUGCAGUGAGCCGAGAUCACGCCAUUGUUCUCCAGCCUGGGCAACAAGAGCAAAACUCUGUCUCAAAAAUAAAAUAAAAAAUUGCUUUAAAAAAUAAAAA